rnacentral:rRNA from 1 species
GUGCCAGCCGCCGCGGUAAUACGGAGGGUGCAAACGUUGCUCGGAAUCAUUGGGCGUAAAGCGCACGUAGGCGGUCCGGCAAGUCGGGAGUGAAAGCCCUCGGCUUAACCGAGGAAGUGCUUUCGAAACUACCGGACUUGAAUACUGGAGAGGGUCGCGGAAUUCCCGGUGUAGAGGUGAAAUUCGUAGAUAUCGGGAGGAACACCAGUGGCGAAGGCGGCGACCUGGACAGAUAUUGACGCUGAGGUGCGAAAGCGUGGGGAGCAAACAGGAUUAGAAACCCCUGUAGUCC